AUAACACAUUGUUUACAUUGCAACCAUAUAAUUCUCAAUUACAUAAUCGCUUUUCUUUUUUAGUUUGCAGAAUGUUUCUUAAAUGAUGAGCCGCUUCAGUUUUCCACAUCUGAAAAAAGUGUGGCUGCCCUAAGAAUGACUAUAGCUGCUUGUCUCCUGCAGAGCACUGCUGACCUUAAGGACCUGUGCCAUCUGUGUGGUGAAAGAAACAGUGGUCAAAAAGUGACUAACUGGAUUGGCUGUGAUGUGUGCCCACGUUGGUUUGACUGCAACUGUGUCAAACGCUCAAGGAAACACAGAAGUUACAUCUGCCCCGUUUGUGAACCUUGAUGUGCACACUCUCACGAUAUACU